UACGUAGGGGGGCAAGCGUUGUCCGGAAUCAUUGGGCGUAAAGAGCGUGUAGGCGGCCCGGUAAGUCCGCUGUGAAAGUCGGGGGCUCAACCCUCGAAUGCCGGUGGAUACUGUCGGGCUAGAGUGCGGAAGAGGCGAGUGGAAUUCCUGGUGUAGCGGUGAAAUGCGCAGAUAUCAGGAGGAACACCAAUUGCGAAGGCAGCUCGCUGGGACGGUACUGACGCUGAGACGCGAAAGCGUGGGGAGCGAACAGG
rnacentral:rRNA from 1 species